CAAAUAUUAUGUACAGGUAGCUAAACAAGGUGUAUAGAUGUGAACAAAUUUAAUGUGAAACUAGUGUACAUUACAUUAAACCAAAUGUAAUAAAAUUGAAAAUGGAAAUGGGGAAUUUGUCAAAGAGACAACAACCCGACCACACAUGUUUACUGUACAUAGCGUUUGGUGUGAACACGGUCUUAGUUUACAAGUCAUCAUCAUUACAAAUGUGUCUCUAACCAACACAAACAAUUUCAAUAUUUACUGUACAUGCAGUUUUACAAUUUGCUAUUUGUUGACUGCAACUAAAGUCGCCAAAAUCUAGACAUAACAAUCCUUCUUUGAGGAACGAAUUUAUAUAAAUUCUUAUUGUUUCCAAAUCGCUCUGUAUUUCUCAUGUUUCUUUUGUAUGAUUGAAACUUGUGCACUUUUGAACC
rnacentral:lncRNA from 1 species